rnacentral:lncRNA from 1 species
AAAGACUUGUUGAAAUCUUGUCCCAAAUGGGAUAGGAACCCACAACCAAUGCUUUGAGGCAGUAUAUGGCUUGUAUAAAGUUAUUUUGGGUUAGAAUAUGUUAAAAUACAAUGAAUUUGAUUGAUUACAAGUGCUAGAGAUGGAUGAAUAAUGUUUAGAAGUGAGAAGAAAGACUUGUUGAUAUUUGGUCCCAAAUGGGAUAAGAACCUAAAACCAUUGCUUUGAGGCAGUGAAUAGCUUGGAUAAAGUUAUUUUGGGUUAGAAUAUGUUAUAAUACAAUGAAUUUCAUUGAUUACAAGUGCUAGAGAUGCAUG